AUCGCUUCUCUGCCUUUUGGCUAAGAUCAAGUGCAGUAUCUGUUUUUAUCAGUUUAAUACCUAAUAUAUCCUCUCUAUGAGAGCAGUGGUGGUUAAAGGUUUGGGUUGUUGAUUGGAAGGUUGGGGUUGAAGCCCUGACACUGCCAAGAUGCUUCUGUUGAGCAAUUGCAGUUGGAGUUUUGUAUCAUAGCUGCCCCU